rnacentral:rRNA from 1 species
GUAAGUUCCGACCUGCACGAAUGGUGCAACGAUCUGGGUACUGUCUCAACCAUGAGCUCGGUGAAAUUGUAGUUCCGGUGAAGAUGCCGGAUACCCGCAACGGGACGGAAAGACCCCGUGAACCUUUACUAUAGCUUCACAUUGGUAUUGGGUAAAUGAUGUGUAGGAUAGCUGGGAGACUCUGAAGCUGUGUCGUCAGGCAUGGUGGAGUCAUUGGUGAAAUACCAGCCUUUAUUUAUCUGAUGCCUAACCCCGAAAGGGAGACAGUGUGUGGUGGGUAGUUUGACUGGGGUGGUCGCCUCCAAAAGAGUAACGGAGGCUUUCAAAGGUACCCUCAGCACGCUUGGUAACCGUGCGCAGAGUGCAAUAGCAUAAGGGUGCUUGACUGUGAGGCCUACAAGCCGAGCAGGUAGGAAACUAGGAUAUAGUGAUCCGGCGGUUCUGUAUGGAAGGGCCGUCGCUCAAAGGAUAAAAGGUACUCCGGGGAUAACAGGCUGAUACCGCCCAAGAGUUCAUAUCGACGGCGGUGUUUGGCACCUCGAUGUCGGCUC